ensembl:misc_RNA Metazoa_SRP Metazoan signal recognition particle RNA
GCCAGGCAUGGUGGUGUGUGUCUGUAAUCCCAGCUACUCAGGAGGCUGAGGCGGGAGAAUCACUUGAACCCAGGAGGCAGAGGGUGCAGUGAGCCCAAAUUGCGCCACUGCACUCCAGCCUGGGCAACAGAGUGAGACUCCGCCUCAA